GUAUUGUAAAUACAUUUUCAAUUAGUUUAAAUUGAUUGUGUCUGAAGCAAACAGCGCUGCGCGCAACACUGCUGUCAGACACAGCUCUCCGAAUAAAGUGGAGCAAAGCUCCUUCUUGAUUCAACACCCAAACGAUCAACAUCUUUUAUUUAUCCGCUCCGCGAAACCCCUCCAAGUGUGCAGAUUACAGAGUUAUAAUAGUGGCGACGAGGAAAAUUACAACCAAUUACAACGUAUACGGUCGAUUAAAAAACACACUACGAACAGCGGGAGAAAUUGAAUAGCAGCCGAAUCAUUGCUGCUGCAGCUUUUGUUUCGCCCCGCCGGGAGGUUGGUUUGAUGCUUGUUCGUGGCAUCAGGUAAGAGUAGCGGAUCAAAAGGGUGAGUGAAAUCAUUUUUUGGUUAAUGCCAGGUUCAUUUAAGAAAUUGAUAUUAAUUGAGAAAAGUUAUUACAUGAAGUGUUUUUUUUAGCCAAAGUAAUUUUAUUAAAUGGUUGAUUGGUGAUUUUUUUUUCGCUAUUGUCAAAAAGGCGCGUAAUCAAAGCUAAUGAGAAAAUUAAUAAAUUUGCGCAAGCAAAGUGGCGUGUCAAUUGAUAAAAUUUAAUGAAUUUUGCUUUAGUGAUUCUAUCGUUUGCUUUUAAAAGAAAAGUUGAGCAAUUGCAUUAAAACUAAAGAAAAUCAUGUUGAAGCAUAGUGCGUGAACAAUACAUUGCUGGCUUUAUAUCCUAAUACCUUGAAAAAAAAAAAAGAAGACUCGACAAUAGUACUAUUAUCCCCAUUUUAGUAUUUAAUUUGCAACAUCAAUUGUGUUGUGUGUGUGUUUGUCCCUAUUGCAAGCGCAAUUGUGUGUAUUAUUUUUGCUUCAACGAUUUGGCAAAUAUGUCUUACAUGAUAACUCCCAAUAUUGAACCCUACCGUAAGAGUCAACCAUUUGCUUCUUGGAUUAAACGUUUAUCGUGCCAUUUCCGAGUAAACAAAAUCCAGCAUAAUGAAAGAAAAUACCAGAUGUUUUGUUUGGGAGGUGAUUUUUUAUUCGAUAUUGCAAAUGAGAUUUUCCCUGCAGAUAAAUUGUUGGAUGUGUCUUAUGAAAUAUUAGUUCAAAAACUCAAGGAAAGACUUGAUAAAAACAAUGUUGACUUUGUGGCUUCAAUAAAAAACAAUUAUCCAUUUUUUGAUUCGGCAAAUAAUGAUUAUCUACAUAAUACGCAAAGUUGUUUUCUUUCUCAACAAUUUAGGUACCAAGACGCAUCUGCUUGUUCAUCGCAUCGACAAUUGGAAAUGGACAGCAACCAAAGGACGGUAGACCAGUGUACCUGUGACUACUGCGGACAACAAGGACACGUGCGAAAAAGAUCAUGGUUGGAAACGAGGCGACAACUACGUCCCAUCCCAAUCAGAUCAGAGUCCUUGAGGAUGGACAUGAAACAUCGGAUCUGUCGAAGCGGGCAAUGCGAGCGGUCGAGACUGGUCGUCCGCUAUCGACUGUCGAGAUUCCCGAGAAUGAUCGACCGUUGCAGACUGCAGCUGAACGCAUGAUGGAACUCGAACUAAACGAGAGCGAUAUCUGGCAAUUACCGGAUCAUACCAAUAGCAGCGCCUCGAAUCAACGCAAGUUAAUGAAGAUUGAGAAUAGAAAAAGAAAAUUCUCGUCAGAGCCGGUAGAGCUUUCUGGCCUACCUAGGCAUUCAAUAAGAUUUAGCAAAGCUAGAUUUAAAAGUGAAAUUUAUUAUUACUUUAAUGUUGAAUAUUUGUUCAUUCUGAGUCUCCUUUCCUUCUGAAGGGGGAAGAGCUGAUGUGUAUUGUAAAUACAUUUUCAAUUAGUUUGAAUUGAUUGUGUCUGAAGCAAACAGCGCUGCGCGCAACACUGCUGUCAGACACAGCUCUCCGAAUAAAGUGGA